ACAUUUGUUUCAUUGUCAAGUUUGUUGCUGUUGCCUAAGAGAGUCCUAAUGAUAUUUAGUACAAACUGAAUGCUUUUCUUUUAUUUUUACUGCAAAUCUAUCGUUUCAUAUGCGUCAUACGUACCUCACAGAUAAUUGUGUUUUCGAAAAGUUCCGUCAGGCAAACACAAUGGUCAAAAUACAGGAAUGGAAGGGGUCGUAUGACAUGUAGAGUAGGUUGAGAUCACGUUAAGAUUCAAAUGGUACGCGUUAUCUCCUAGAAACGAAGCAGCCGCACGUCGGUAGCCGCGAACCACGGAACUCCCCUCUACCUAAGCGCUUUUUCCCUUCACGAUGCGCUACCUCUCAUUGUACAGCCCUGGGCCCGAGUAGAACAACGCCAGCACCGUGCUACGCCGAGGCGAAAGCAAAAAGAAAAAGAGUGCCUUACGGGGAAUAGAGGCAGCGUUUCCCAACCUUCGGGAACCUUUUCUCGACCACUUGGGUACGCUGUGAAAAAUGUCAUUUUCUUCCCCUUCUCUUUUACAUUCCUGCUUGCAUUGUGCUCAUUUCUUGCUAGGUAAGAUUAGAGAGUUGGUGAUAAAAUGUUUCUUAUCCAAUACGAAACACCCGAUUAUCGAUAGUAACUUGUGUCAAAGGUUUAUUUACUAUAGUAAUCCAUGUGUCACGAAACGUUAAUUGAAGAAUCAGAAUAUGAUGUAACAUAUACUAUUUCACAGAAGCAAACCCAUUCUACAAAAAAAGUUAAUUAUUCCAAUAACGCUUGAUGGCUGUGAUUUAUAUUUAGAACUUGGUAAUCUGUGUAAUAUGCACAACUAAGGAGGCAAAUUCGAAGAAUCCGAAGGAUUGGGAAACCCUGAAACGAAAGACGUGAGGGGAACGCGGUUAUGUGGCCUGGAGUUUCAUCCCGCACCACCGCGUUACCCCAACAAGGAAGCAAAAUGCAUCGAAACCAAGGAACGAAGAGGGCCACGGAGAAAAGAGAAAGAGAGUUGCGUAGAGGGCAGUGCAUACGAGGUGGAGCCUCCAGGCACGCUCAUUAGAAAUAAUAAUAAUUACUACAACACGGAUAAUAAAUGUUGCCGUUUGCUCGAUACAUGCUCAACUUGGAAAGUAAGUUAACUACUACUGGCACACGGUAAUUAAAUAAAUGAAAUACGUUCGGUCGAAUGAUUUAUUUCUCGUCUACGUUCGACCUAACACGCUCGAGCAUCUCACACUGUCAGCUCUAACUACGUGAGCGACGUCAAAAUUUUGAGAAGACGCCAAGGAAGAAAUCCUGUCUGCGGUCAUUGCAUGGAACCGUUACUCGCACGCAUACACGAGCAUAGCGAGUACAUGGACAUCAUCGACGUUGCAUCAGAAAUUUACUAAACCAAGUUGUGCAAAUUUUAAAUGCUCGUUAAAGGACGUUUGUUCUCACGUGCUUUGAAGCAGUUCCUCUAAUCCAAAUGAAUGUAAUUUUAUAAAUAUUAUUUAGUUUCAAAUAUAAUUUAGCUUCUUUAUUUUCUA
rnacentral:lncRNA from 1 species